rnacentral:rRNA from 1 species
UACGGAGGGUGCAAACGUUGCUCGGAAUCAUUGGGCGUAAAGCGCACGUAGGUGGUCUCGCAAGUCGGGUGUGAAAGCCCUCGGCUUAACCGAGGAAGUGCAUUCGAAACUACGAGACUUGAAUACUGAAGAGGAUCGCGGAAUUCCCGGUGUAGAGGUGAAAUUCGUAGAUAUCAGGAGGAACACCAAUGGCGAAGGCAGCUCGCUGGGACGGUACUGACGCUGAGACGCGAAAGCGUGGGGAGCAAACAGG